rnacentral:rRNA from 1 species
AGAUUGAACGCUGGCGGCAUGCCUAACACAUGCAAGUCGAACGGGAGUAGCAAUACUCUAGUGGCGGACGGGUGAGGAAUACGUAGGAAUUUGCCCUUAAGUGGGGGAUAACCCGGGGAAACCCGGAUUAAUACCGCAUGACCUCGAAAGAGCAAAGUGGGGGAUCGCAAGACCUCACGCUUUUGGAGAAGCCUACGUCGGAUUAGCUAGUUGGUGAGGUAAUGGCUCACCAAGGCGACGAUCCGUAACUGGUCUGAGAGGAUGAUCAGUCACACCGGAACUGAGACACGGUCCGGACUCCUACGGGAGGCAGCAGUGGGGAAUAGUGGACAAGUGGGCGCAAGCCCGAUCCAGCAAGUGCCGCGUGUGUGAACGAGGCCUUCGGUUGUAAAGUCUAACGUUUAAGGUUAGGGAAGAAAAAACGUCGACUACUAACACAGUAGAGU